AAAUUUAAUGCUUAUCUUGUUGACAACUUUGAAAUUUCAAUCAAAUAUAUUUGGUAGUUGAUACAGAUACGACAUUGUUAUGUGUUAAUUCAUACUUAAUUGAAUGUUAUACUCCAUCUUUUUAAUCAGUAAACUUUGAUGCGAGUCUGCUUUAGCACUUCAUUGAAUAAUACUCUCAUUUUUUUGAUUUAACACUCUAUCUUGGUUUCCAAAAGAGGAGCAGGAGGGCAAGGCCAGAGAAAUUGAUUGGCUUACUUUUACUUGUUUGGGAAGUAAAAGUGAUGUACUUCAUCUUUUCACUGUAGUUUUGAAGGGGUACCCGCUUUAGCUUUUGCUUCCUACCUGAGAAAAUUACCCUUAUAAAUCAUCAUCUAAAUGAUUAGUUACGUCAGGAGGCAAAAGUGCUUCAAUAUAACUAAUUGUAGAAAGGUAACUUCAGUUCUGGGCAUCCUAUUUCGGAAAUAGACACAACACUCGGCAGAGGAAUAGCUUGUAAAGGCAAAGUCACAAGCGUCUGGGCUUAUGCAUGCUAUAUGUUGAGUUAAAGGCUUAAUUUUCCAGCCUCCAAGGUUCUCGUUUCCUUUUUUGAUCAUGUUACGGUGAACCUUCAAAUGCACAGAGAGCGGACAGGAAAGAUAAGGGCCUUGCCCCAUGUGCUUCUUUCUCUUCCCAGGAAUGAAGAAUUUGAUUUAAAAUGCUUUCAUUAUCUUAAUUUUUUAUUUUGUAUAUGGAUACAUCAUGAAGAGCUCUUUCCACUUCUGCCACUCAAGCGAAGAAGUUUCAAGAAACGAAGUGACCAAGUGGGGCAGAAAAAGCAAGUCUUUAUGUGCUUCUUUCUCUUCCCAGGAAUGAAAAAUUUGAUUUACAAUGCUUUCUUUAUCUUAAUUUUUUAUUUUGUAUAUGGAUACAUCAUGAAGAGCUCUUUCCACUUCUGCCACUCAAGCAAAGAAGUUUCAAGAAACGAAGUGACCAAGUGGGGCAGAAAAAGCAAGUCUUCUAGAGAGCGUACCUUUAGUUCUGCUCUUUCUCUAUUCUAAAACUAAAAAUAGAACAAAGAGAAGAAGCAAAAUAUUAUUCUACAUACCCCUUCCAUCAGAUUAGAUUACUAAGUAUAAUUCAUUCAAAAAGAAUAAAGGAACUGGUUUAAGAACAGGCUCUUUAAAGUGAUCUGAUACCUUCUUCCCUUGGAAAAGUAAGAUUAUACAGGUAACAAGUGUUCAUAGGUACUUGAUUGCAAAAGGCCAAUUAACAGAUUUCUGAUAUGCCUGAGAUAUAUGACCUUCUCCGUCUUGGAAACUGGCUAAUCAAAAGGGGGCACUUUUUCCAUUUUGCUGUUUUGAAUUUUUCGCGCUCUUGUCUUAUCUUUAUUAUUGUGGUUUUAUGUUUAUGGAUAAUAUUAGGCAUUGGUAUUACACAGAUCUAUUAUUUAGGAAAAAUAAGAAAUAUCGAUAUUUCCAUGGCAGGAAUAGGGUAGUUGUAUUAAGAAAGAGAGCUAGGGAUUUGAUAAAGGUGAUAAACUAAGUUCUGGACCUGCCUUAGUCUCAAAUACCGAACAAGCUAGGGGCAUUACUAUAUGAAUGAGAUAUCAUCCUAGUUUCAUGACAAGCGAUAUCGCAAAUUCCUAAUAUGAGGUAACACUAUGCAGCUGAAUUCAUGAUGAUUGAAGAUAUUACGAGGGGUGAGGUAGACCAAAUAUUAGUUGGAUGGAUAUCAUCAAAACACUGCAUUCUCGGGACUCCAUGUGCACUGAGCUCAGUACACAAAACUGUGGAAGAUAAAAAUCUAUAUAGAUGAUGUGAAACUAAUCCUUAUUAACACACUAACCGGUCGUUUGGUAGGAGGUAUUAGGAAAAAUAAUGCAAGCAUUAGCUCUGUGCAUUACUAAUACCUUGUUUGGUACAUUUAGUAUGGUUAAAGACAAAAUUGUCCGUAAAUUCCCUUAAAGCUAGAGAAUAUGGAGACAUUUUUGUAAACAACUAUUUUUCUUAAAAAUUAUGCUAUGCAUUAUAAUUUUUAAUACACCACACCAAACAAUAGAUAAGAAAUAAUAUUUGCAUAAUUUGCUUGCAUUACUAACUCAUGCAUUAUUAAUCCCUGCAUUACUAAUACACCUUAUUCCGCAUUAUUUUUAUACACCCUACCAAACGACCCCUAACAGUUGGUCUAGUGCUUAUUAGGAGUCUUUUUUAGCUUGAUUAGAGAUUUGUAUGUUAUUUUAUAUGGAUAAGUGUGAAAUUUAAAGAACCCCUAGCUUCAGAGAACCUCUUAUUCGUCUUUAUAUUGACUAUAUGAAUAAAGUCGACCCAAAUAGAGCAUAAUAGAUGUGGAGAAUUUGUAUCGUCAAAUGAACUAGCUCUCUCAAUUUCCUGUUUCCUCCCUCAAAAAUUUUGAUAGAUUUUUCUUAGUGUUUCCUCUCUUAGAAAAGCAAGACCUUUGAAAAUGAGGAAGAGGCAACUGAGUAAAUAAGAAGGUUUGUGGUCAGUUAAUUGUUG
rnacentral:lncRNA from 1 species